rnacentral:rRNA from 1 species
AAUUACCCACUCCCAGCACGGGGAGGUAGUGACGAAAAAUAACGAUACGGGACUCAUCCGAGGCCCCGUAAUCGGAAUGAGUACACUUUAAAACUUUUCCCGAGGAUCAAUUGGAGGGUAAGUCUGGUGCCAGCAGCCGCGGUAAUUCCAGCUCCAAUAGCGUAUAUUAAAGUUGUUGCGGUUAAAAAGCUCGUAGUCGAAUCUGUGUCCCGCGCCGCUGGUUCAUCGCUCGCGGUGUUCAACUGGCGUGUCUCGCGGGACGUCCUGCCGGUGGGCGCUCGUAUCGUUUCGGCGGUGCGUGGCCCAACUCGUAGCCGUCUCGCGCGGUUGCGAAUCCCAUCGCGGUGCUCUUUAUUGAGUGUCGAGGUGGGCCGGCACGUUUACUUUGAACAAAUUAGAGUGCUUAAAGCAGGCCAAUUUUGCCUGAAUAUUGUGUGCAUGGAAUAAUGGAAUAGGACCUCGGUUCUAUUUUGUUGGUUUUCGGAACCCCGAGGUAAUGAUUAAUAGGAACGGAUGGGGGCAUUCGUAUUGCGACGUUAGAGGUGAAAUUCUUGGAUCGUCGCAAGACGGACAGAAGCGAAAGCAUUUGCCAAAAACGCUUUCAUUGAUCAAGAACGAAAGUUAGAGGUUCGAAGGCGAUCAGAUACCGCCCUAGUUCUAACCAUAAACGAUGCCAGCUAGCGAUCCGCCGACGUUCCUCCGAUGACUCGGCGGGCAGCUUCCGGGAAACCAAAGCUUUUGGGUUCCGGGGGAAGUAUGGUUGCAAAGCUGAAACUUAAAGGAAUUGACGGAAGGGCACCACCAGGAGUGGAGCCUGCGGCUUAAUUUGACUCAACACGGGACACCUUACCAGGCCCGGACACCGGAAGGAUUGACAGAUUGAGAGCUCUUUCUUGAUUCGGUGGGUGGUGGUGCAUGGCCGUUCUUAGUUGGUGGGGCGA